rnacentral:rRNA from 1 species
UAGUCAUAUGCUUGUUUCAAAGAUUAAGCCAUGCAAGUCUAAGUAUAAGCUUUUUAUACGGCAAAACUGCGAAUAGCUCAUUACAACAGUUGUAAUCUCCACGAUGAUAUUUACUAUAUGGAUAUCCAUGGUAAUUCUGGAGCUAAUACAUGCUAAAAAACCUGACUUUCGGGAAAGGUUGCAUUCAUUAGAAUUCAGACCCAACCACCUCACGGUGACAUUGGUGAUCAUAAUGAAAGAGCGGAUCGCAUUCUUGCGACAGUUCGUUCGAGCUU